rnacentral:rRNA from 1 species
GCUCAACCUCGGGCGUGCGGUGGGUACGGGCAGGCUAGAGUGUGGUAGGGGAGACUGGAACUCCUGGUGUAGCGGUGAAAUGCGCAGAUAUCAGGAAGAACACCGAUGGCGAAGGCAGGUCUCUGGGCCAUUACUGACACUGAGAAGCGAAAGCAUGGGUAGCGAACAGGAUUAGAUACCCUGGUAGUCCAUGCCGUAAACGUUGGGCACUAGGUGUGGGGGACAUUCCACGUUUUCCGCGCCGUAGCUAACGCAUUAAGUGCCCCGCCUGGGGAGUACGGCCGCAAGGCUAAAACUCAAAGGAAUUGACGGGGGCCCGCACAAGCGGCGGAGCAUGCUGAUUAAUUCGAUGCAACGCGAAGAAUCUUACCAAGGCUUGACAUGCACUGGACGGCUGCAGAGAUGUGGCUUUCUUUGGACUGGUGCACAGGUGGUGCAUGGUUGUCGUCAGCUCGUGUCGUGAGAUGUUGGGUUAAGUCCCGCAACGAGCGCAACCCUCGUUCUAUGUUGCCAGCACGUGAUGGUGGGGACUCAUAGGAGACUGCCGGGGUCAACUCGGAGGAAGGUGGGGACGACGUCAAAUCAUCAUGCCCCUUAUGUCUUGGGCUUCAAGCAUGCUACAAUGGUCGGUACAAUG